CACAGCCCCCUCUCCCCUAGCUAUGCCCCUGGCCUAACCUACCUCACAGGAUUGUUAUGAAGACAAACAUAACCAUGUAUGGGCUCCUUGGGCUCUGGGCUCCUUGGAGGAAGAGCGGGAUAUAAAUAUGAUAAACAAACAAAUAAAUAAAAGCAGAACUUCUUCUGGCAACUUGGAAGACUGACAAGGAAAUCUUCUCAUCCCUGGACAAUUCAAAAUUGUUUACUGGGUCCCAUAUCUUUUGGUGACACAAUAUCUUCCAGAUGGCUGUGCAGCUCCCAACAGUGACGCUUGUGUGGGCGCAGAAGCCGCGUGGCCCAAGAAAGUGAAGCAAUCAUCUGAGAGGAAGGACGUUUUGCAGAGCUUGAAGUUCUAUAACAACAACAACAACAACAGCAGCAACAGCAACAAUUAUUUUUUAUAAAUGCAGCACAUAUUUCCAAAUUUUGAAUCUUGUAUGACUCACAAAAAUGGCAAGUAAACCUACUGUACGUAUAACAUAUCUAACCAAGUUACAAGUAGAUGGAACACUGAAGACACCAAAGUCCAAGAACAUAACAUUAGGUGUGAUUGCAUAUAUUUAAGAUUUUAUAAUGUCAUUUAGUGCAUAGUGCAUUAAGCUAGUACAGGGGUUCCCAACUGGUGGUAUCUACUAUAGGGUUGCCAACAGUCCCAGAUUAGUUGGGAUGUCCUGUAUUUCCGGGGGAAAGUGGUCAUCCCAUCCGGGACGCCAUUUCCCCCAUAGUUUGGCUCCGCCA